rnacentral:rRNA from 1 species
ACUACGGGUGGCUGCAGUGAGGAAUAUUGGUCAAUGGGCGCGAGCCUGAACCAGCCACGUAGCGUGAAGGAUGACUGCCCUACGGGUUGUACACUUCUUUUAUAAAGGAAUAAAGUGAGGCACGUGUGCCUUUUUGUAUGUACUUUAUGAAUAAGGAUCGGCUAACUCCGUGCCAGCAGCCGCGGUAAUACGGAGGAUCCGCGCGUUAUCCGGAUUUAUUGGGUUUAAAGGGAGCGUCGAUGGGUUGUUAAGUCAGUUGUGAAAGUUUGCGGCUCAACCGUAAAAUUGCAAUUGAUACUGGCAGUCUUGAGUACAGUUGAGGUAGGCGGAAUUCGUGGUGUAGCGGUGAAAUGCUUAGAUAUCACGAAGAACUCCGAUUGCGAAGGCAGCUUACUAAACUGCCACUGACAUUGAUGCUCGAAAGUGUGGGUAUCAAACAGGAUUAGAUUCCCGUGUAGUC